rnacentral:misc_RNA from 1 species
AGGUCACCUCCCGAAUGGCG